rnacentral:rRNA from 1 species
GAUGAACGCUGGCGGCGUGCCUAAUACAUGCAAGUCGAGCGAAUGGAUUAAGAGCUUGCUCUUAUGAAGUUAGCGGCGGACGGGUGGGUAACACGUGGGUAACCUGCCCAUAAGACUGGGAUAACUCCGGGAAACCGGGGCUAAUACCGGAUAACAUUUUGAACCGCAUGGUUCGAAAUUGAAAGGCGGCUUCGGCUGUCACUUAUGGAUGGACCCGGGUCGCAUUAGCUAGUUGGGGAGGUAACGGCUCACCAAGGCAACGAUGCGUAGCCGACCUGAGAGGGUGAUCGGCCACACUGGGACUGAGACACGGCCCAGACUCCUACGGGAGGCAGCAGUAGGGAAUCUUCCGCAAUGGACGAAAGUCUGACGGAGCAACGCCGCGUGAGUGAUGAAGGCUUUCGGGUCGUAAAACUCUGUUGUUAGGGAAGAACAAGUGCUAGUUGAAUAAGCUGGCACCUUGACGGUACCUAACCAGAAAGCCACGGCUAACCACGUGCCAGCCGCCGCAGUAA